GGUGCAGAAUUAUUUUUGCAAUAUGUUCCUGAAUAUGUAAUAUAAGUAUAUAUUGGGGACAUUUUGCAUGCAUAGUUUUGUAUC
ensembl:miRNA